CCCCUCUCAGGAUCACACCUGAAGAGUUUCCAGUACUCUACCAGUCUUGACUACGGGAGGGAGAGUCGAGCAGACUCUCGAAUGGAUCCAUUCCAUUCCUAGCUUGGGCAAUGGCUAGCAGGUGGAAGACAAUCUGCUACAAGU